rnacentral:rRNA from 1 species
ACUACGGGUGGCAGCAGUGAGGAAUAUUGGUCAAUGGGCGCGAGCCUGAACCAGCCAAGUCGCGUGAAGGAGGACGGCCCUACGGGUUGUAAACCUCUUUUGCCGGGGAGCAACGGGCGUCACGUGUGGCGCCACUGAGAGUACCCGGAGAAAAAGCAUCGGCUAACUCCGUGCCAGCAGCCGCGGUAGUACGGAGGAUGCGGGCUUUAUCCGGAUUUAUUGGGUUUAAAGGGUGCGUAGGCGGAUCGGUAAGUCAGUGGUCAAAUUGAGGGGCUCAACCCCUUCCCGCCAUUGAAACUGGCGCUAUUGAGGGGAAGAGAAGUAUGCGGAAUGCGUGGUGUAGCGGUGAAAUGCAGAGAUAUCACGCAGAACCCCGAUUGCGAAGGCAGCAUGCCGGCGUCCGACUGACGCUGAAGCACGAAAGCGUGGGGAUCGAACAGGAUUAGAUACCCGGGUAGUC